AUAAUAAUUAGUCUUUUAAUUGAAGGCUGGUAUGAAGGAUUGAACGAGAUAAAUACUGUCUCAUUUUAAAUUAAUAUUUUAAUUUAAUUUUUAAGUUAAAAAGCUUAAAUGAUAAUAAAGGACGAGAAGACCCUAUAGAGCUUUAUAUUUAAAUUAAUUUAGUUUUUAAAUUUUAAAUUUUAUUUGAUUUAAUUAUUUUAUUGGGGCGAUAGUAAAAUUAAAAAAACUUUUAUAAUUUCUUUACAUAAAUAAAUGAAUUUUUUGAUCCUAUAUUUUAGAUUAAUAGAUUAAGUUACCUUAGGGAUAACAGCGUAAUUUUUUUUAGAAGUUCAUAUUUUAAAAGAAGUUUGC
rnacentral:rRNA from 1 species